UGGAUUAGUGGCGAACGGGUGAGUAACACGUGGGCAAUCUGCCCUUCACUCUGGGACAAGCCCUGGAAACGGGGUCUAAUACCGGAUAACACUCUGUCCCGCAUGGGACGGGGUUGAAAGCUCCGGCGGUGAAGGAUGAGCCCGCGGCCUAUCAGCUUGUUGGUGGGGUGAUGGCCUACCAAGGCGACGACGGGUAGCCGGCCUGAGAGGGCGACCGGCCACACUGGGACUGAGACACGGCCCAGACUCCUACGGGAGGCAGCAGUGGGGAAUAUUGCACAAUGGGCGAAAGCCUGAUGCAGCGACGCCGCGUGAGGGAUGACGGCCUUCGGGUUGUAAACCUCUUUCAGCAGGGAAGAAGCGAAAGUGACGGUACCUGCAGAAGAAGCGCCGGCUAACUACGUGCCAGCAGCCGCGGUAAUACGUAGGGCGCAAGCGUUGUCCGGAAUUAUUGGGCGUAAAGAGCUCGUAGGCGGCUUGUUGCGUCGGUUGUGAAAGCCCGGGGCUUAACCCCGGGUCUGCAGUCGAUACGGGCAGGCUAGAGUGUGGUAGGGGAGAUCGGAAUUCCUGGUGUAGCGGUGAAAUGCGCAGAUAUCAGGAGGAACACCGGUGGCGAAGGCGGAUCUCUGGGCCAUUACUGACGCUGAGGAGCGAAAGCGUGGGGAGCG
rnacentral:rRNA from 1 species